GGUACAAGCUACAAUCUGAUGGUACAAUUCAAGCUACAAUCUCUCGGGUUGUAUGGAAUACUGUCAUUACUUUGGUUCUGAUGGUACAGUUUUCAUAGAAGUCAAAAGAAAAAAGAUCCUUCUUUAUUGCAUCUCAGUCACAUGAUUUACAUUCGUAGAGCUUGAAUUGGCAGUUUCAGUAGAUGAAAAGAAAUCCUUUGGAAAUGAUAUUAUGUUACUCUCUUUUGUUUUGCCCAACUGUUAAAGAAUACUAACAAAUGGUCUUAUUGCUUCUCUGUGUUUCUUUAUAUGUUUUGCCUCAGGUACAGGCCGCUGUUGCUGCAACAGACCAGCGAAAAUGGUGGGAAAGAAGUGUUUCUAUAAGUGCUUUUGGUCAAGCUGGAGAUAAAUUAGUUUGUGGUAGAAUUCUACCCAAGUCAGUGUCUCUGGAGUUUGGGCAAUGGAGUAACUCUAUGCAUUAGUGAUUUUGUUUGGAAGGCCUUGGGCUUUUAUGCCAAAAGUUGUGGAUGCUUCUUUCACAAUGAUCAGGAUUUGGCAAUGCCAUGGUAGACGUGAAGAGAGAGUUGGACCAAUUUGAUGAUUCGGUCAUAUCGACAGCCUAAUUUUUAAAAAUGCUAGAUGCAAGCUUUCAAGUGGCCAGACUGAAGAAGCAUAGUGUAGAGAGAAGUUGUAGUCGCUCUUCCCUAAAAUCCUG